rnacentral:lncRNA from 1 species
AGUUGCCUAGUUGUUACUUUCUUCCUCUUUCAUGUCUCACGUGCACAGCUGAGAUGGGCUUACUAUCUUUAUUUCUAUGUACUGUUUUAGACAAGGUGUUCUCCAUUUAUGAAAUUUCCUUCUGAUUAUCAGUAUACCUUAUGGUGUUAGGAAAAAACCAUGUUUAAUAGAGUCUGAAAAAAUAAUUUAAAAAUUAUUUUUGAUUGUGGUAAAAUAUAUACAACCCAAAUUUACCUGAGUGUUUGUCUUUUUGUGACAGGCUUAUUUUACUUACAACAUCCUUAAGCUUUAUUCAUGUUGUAAUGUGUCAGAAUUCCCUUUUUUUAAAAAUUGAAAAAAAAAGGAUAUUAGGAGGCAUACACUUCCGAUUACAAAAUAAAUAUGUCCACAGAGAUAUAAUUAACAUACAGCGCAAUAUAGUCAGUAACACAGUAAUAACUUGUACAGUGACAGAUGGCAGCUAGACUUAUUGUGGUGAUCAUUUUGUAUCACGUGCUAUACACCAAAACUAAUAUAAUAUUGUAAGUCAAUUAUAUUUCAAUAAAACAAAGACUUGAAAAGAUAAACAAAAUUGACAAACCUUUUGCUGAUGUCUAGGAAAUCCCAGGCACAUACAGGUCUGAUCUCAGCCAUAAUAAAGGAGUGUGGUUGUGCUAAGAUAAAGAAGAAAGUAAAGAAUCUCAGAGAGUGUAUUGAGUGCAAUAGGGGGAAAAGACGAUGGAUGAGCAAAUAUUGUACAUUUGUGUAUGACAUUAUGAUUUCAAAUUAAAUAAUAUGCAUUACUUUUAUGAUCAUGUUUACGUCUCAUACAGAUUCUUUGAAAUAGGUAGGUUUGUUGUCAUUAAUCCUGUUAUACAGAUAAAGAAGUGCAAUACUUUAAGUAUUCAAAGUUACCCAGUGGUGAAGCUUGUGUUCAGGACUUCUGACUCUGCAAUCAGUAUCUCAUUUCCACCUUUAUUAGUCUCCUGCUUGUGUCAUCCCUCCAGAGCUCCUGAGAUGUGAUUGUGGCACUUUCCUUUUAGAAUUUUCCUUGAUCCUACGUGGUACAGCUGCACCCUUUGCUCAAGAAAUGCUCUAUCCAUCAGGCAUUGUCUGGUACAGUUCUUGACUUCUUAGGGGUCGGAAUGCUGCCUCAUUUGAAAGUCAUCACUGUUCUUUUGCCCUGUGCUCUUCAGCCUGGGAAUGAAUACAGAGCAUUUAUAAGGAAGCAUCCAAUUGGCACAGCUCUUUUAGUGAUAGGAAAUUUUCCUUUUUAGAGUUGAAAGGUACAGUUGGGCUUUGAUUUAGUGGCAGAGCCCUGAGUCUCCCCUUAGAUUUCUGCAGAUUUAAAGCAGGUAUUGUUUCAACAUCAAUUACUUCAAAAAUAACAUAUGCCUGCACAUAUGGAAAAUGAUUGCUGAUCUGUAGGGAAGAAGGACAGUUCCCCUCCAAAAAGCAAAUUAUUUUUAUACUUCAAUUGUAAUAAACACUAUGCUUCUCUCCUGGAAUGUUUCCUAUCAGGAGUUUUGUCUCCCUGAUUUGAGUUUUUUUAGAUUUAGUUUUCAUUUUAUUUGGUGACUUUUUCUUCUUCUAUAAGGAUCAUCUCAAUAAUCUACUUUGCUCAAAUUAAAGAUAUUUGACACUUUUUCUGUAUCUGAGCUCUGAGGCAGUGGUAUGAAAACUUCUAAGACAAGACCUCAGAGUCACAGAUUCCUGAAUAAGGUGUCUUACUUGAGUCUGCAGACUUGAAACAUUUGGCAGUGGUGCUUCUUUUCCUAUUUAGCACACAGGAACAGUUGGCAGCUGGGACUGUAUCUUAAUUUUCUGUCUUAAGCUUUGUUUCUUCAUCUUUCUACCUCACCCACGUGUGAUUUCAUGCUGGCCUGUUUAAGUUCCAUCUCCUUGGAAACUGUCAUUUUUCUAGGCAUGCUAUCAAAAUGUUGAAUCUCUAAUGCUCCUGUAUAAUUAUAACUUUACAGAGUUUUGUAGAAAUCAUCCCAGUUUCAUAUUUUAUUGUGUGAGUAUGUGCUAAUGUAUGCUUUUUUCAGGGAGGGAGUCCCUAGUGCUUAAUCAUUUUACAAAGUUUAAAAACUAUUGGCCAUAUCCAGGAGGGAGUGGCUUGAUAUAUUUAAAGUGAUGAGAGGGAAAAAACCCUACAACCUCAAAUGCUGUACCCAUCAAGGCUGUCAUUCACAUUUGCAGGAGUGAUAAAGAGUUUUACAGACAAUAAAAAAUUUAAAAAGGUCAGCACCACAGAACCAAUGUUAUAAGAAAUGUAGAAGAAAUUUCUCUAAGUGAAAUUGAAAAGGUCACAACUAGAAUUAUGAAAAUUAUGAAGGAAAAAUCUCAUUGGUAAAAGCAAAUAUACAAUAGAGUAUGUCAACCACUUGUAAAGCUAAAAGGAGGUUAAAAGACAAGAGUGGUAAAAUCAUCCACAUCCACAAAAAAUAGUUAAGGGAUACAUCAAACAAAAAAAUGUAAAAUAAGAUGUUGAAAAUAUUAAACUUGGGGGGGAGUAAAAACGCAGAGUUGGUAAAAUGCAUUCAAAUUUAAGAGAUCAGAAACUUAAAAUAAGCACAUACAUGAAUAGAUUGGUAUAUAUAAACCUCAUAGUAACUACAAGCCAAAAAAAAUAUAUAUAAUAGAUACACACAGAAAAAGGAGUAAAGAUUUCAAACAUAGCACUAAAGACACUCAUGAAACACAAGGACAGAG